UUGACCUCGGAUCAGGUACUGACCCAGGCA
rnacentral:rRNA from 1 species